CCCUAAAUCUUCUAAUUCUUCUCCUUUACUCUUCAUCGAAACCCCAACUUUUCUUUCAAAUCUUCUCUCCAAACCCUAAAGGAUCCUUCAUCCAGUUCUUCCAUCAUCGAUUCUUCUUUCUCACACUUAUUCUCCACAAACCCUAAACUCACUAGAAUUCUUUUUGCUCUUCAUCUUGAAAAAAGGAAAGAAGAUUCGAGAGAUAGAUUGAGAGAUGGGGCGCCGGCUAAGGGUUCUGCGGUUUUUCUCUUAUUUAUUCAUCUGGUGUUGUCUUUGAGGAGGCGGCGAAGACGAAAUAAGUUGGAGAUUUGUCAAUUUGAUCUGGCCUUCAAGUAUGUUGGUAUUGUUUUCGAUCAGUGUGUUUUAUUGAUUAUUUAAGUUUGUUUGUAUGUGCGGUUGGAUUUAGGUAAUAACUUUUAGCACAGAUUUGGAAGACUAGAGCACAUCAUGAUCGAGUUCUUCAACUGUUUAUGCUAUGCUACAAAUUACAUGUAGACAGAGAAAUGUUCACUCACUUAUCACAAAUAAGUGCUAAAAUCCUUCAUUUUGUUUUAGUGAAAUUGAACUGGAAAUUUAUUUGAGUUGCUUAAAAUGUGAUAUAUAUGGUUGCAGAUGCGGCUUGGCUUACGUUUGUGGUCAUACGUUAGAGAAGAGGCCUCCCAUGGAAGGGUAAAUGUUUCGACUUUGUUCUUCUUGUGCAUCAUUUAACCAUUUUAAGAAAACAAAAAAAAGAUUUCUUGGAUAAGGAAGGCACUGUAUAAGGGGGUGUUUAGAUUCUUGAUUAUUUGUUCUGUAAUCAUAUAUUUUAGUUGUAUUACACCAUUUGAUAACCAGCAGAGCUGCAGGAGUAGGUUAUCUGGAUACUAGAAACAGAUAAUCAGAUAUUCGGUUAUUGCUUAAAAACAUACAUCCAAACACCCCCUAACCCUUAUAAUGUAAUGGAUGUGAGCUUUUUUUGGCCUGCUUAUAUCUUCAUUGCUGCAAAAUGUUAUUUAUUUGCACUGUGUCGAUAAGUGUCAGUUAUGCUUAUGCUUCUUGGCUUAGUAUGUGCAAAGGGCACCUAUUGAUCCUUUCAAUUGGGAAGGAAAACCGCUAGCAACCCAAGGGGUUCCCCUUGGUGGGAUGGGGUAAUCUCACAGGGUGCCCUAAAUGGAUGGAUCUUAAUGCAGAUUUGACCCAUUUGAUAUUUAGCAUUUUGAAAGUGGAAACAAAUAGCUAGCUGUUUUAGCGUGUGUCAUCUCUUGCCCUCCUCAUACUAAUGGGCUUGUGUUUGUAGGAUAUAAUAGUGGUUGAAACCACUGUUGGGUUAAAACUGUGGUUUGAAACCACUGUUGGACCAGAUUGCGAGUUGAAGAUCUGAAAACAGUGGUUUCAAAACACUGUUUUAACCCAAAACAGUGGAUUGGUAUAAUUUUUCUUUUGUUUAAUAGGGUAGCAUCUCAAAGGAAACCACUGUUUUAACCCAAAAGUGGUUUCAAAACACUGUUGGGUUAAAACAGUGAGUUAAACCACUGUUGGGUUAAAACAGUGAGUUAAACCACUGUUGAGUUACAACAGUCGUUGAAACUACUGUUGGGUUCGAAGAGUUAUCCACAGGUUCAACAAUGCUAUGAGUUAUCCGCUGAGUAUGAAGGAAAGCAUGAUCCUAAAAAGCUCGAAGUACUCGGAAACGUGUCAAAGUACUCGAAGUACUCCUGAUGAUAAGUUAGAACUGGAUGAAGCUUUGCAUAGAGAAAUUCCUGUUAUGUUAGAUCCAUUAAGGUCAUGUUGGUCGAAAAUGAUGAUUCUACACGUCACAUUGUCACUGCUUUGCUCCGCAACUGUAACUAUGAAGUUAUUGAAGCAGCCAAUGGAUUACAAGCCUGGAAGAUUUUGGAAAAUCUAUCCGUUCACAUUGACAUUGUUUUAGCUUAUAUUAGUUUAAAUCAAACAUGUUUCCUGUGAAAUGAAAAUCUGAUCCUAAAUUUUGAAGUUAAUCAUCAGCUAAUUUGAUGCAAA